rnacentral:rRNA from 1 species
AACGAACGCUGGCGGCAUGCCUAACACAUGCAAGUCGAACGAGACCUUCGGGUCUAGUGGCGCACGGGUGCGUAACGCGUGGGAACCUGCCCUUAGGUUCGGAAUAACUCCCCGAAAGGGGUGCUAAUACCGGAUAAUGUCUUCGGACCAAAGAUUUAUCGCCUUUGGAUGGGCCCGCGUUGGAUUAGCUAGUUGGUAGGGUAAAACCCUACCAAGGCGACGAUCCAUAGCUGGUCUGAGAGGAUGAUCAGCCACACUGGGACUGAGACACGGCCCAGACUCCUACGGGAGGCAGCAGUGGGGAAUAUUGGACAAUGGGCGAAAGCCUGAUCCAGCAAUGCCGCGUGAGUGAUGAAGGCCUUAGGGUUGUAAAGCUCUUUUACCCGGGAUGAUAAUGACAGUACCGGGAGAAUAAGCUCCGGCUAACUCCGUG